rnacentral:rRNA from 1 species
UACGUAGGGGGCAAGCGUUGUCCGGAAUUAUUGGGCGUAAAGAGCGUGUAGGCGGCCAGAUAAGUCCGCUGUGAAAUCUCGAGGCUCAACUUCGAGCUGUCGGUGGAAACUAUCUGGCUAGAGUCCGGAAGAGGAGAAUGGAAUUCCUGGUGUAGCGGUGAAAUGCGCAGAUAUCAGGAAGAACACCCGUGGCGAAGGCGGCUCGCUGGGACGUUACUGACACUGAGGCGCGAAAGCGUGGGGAGCGAACAGG